AACGAACGCUGGCGGCAGGCUUAACACAUGCAAGUCGAACGCCCCGCAAGGGGAGUGGCAGACGGGUGAGUAACACGUGGGAACAUGCCCAAAGGUACGGAAUAUUCUCGGGAAACUGAGAGCAAUACCGUAUAUGCCCGAAAGGGGAAAGAUUUAUCGCCUUUGGAUUGGCCCGCGUCGGAUUAGCUAGUUGGUGGGGUAAAAGCCUACCAAGGCGACGAUCCGUAGCUGGUCUGAGAGGACGACCAGCCACACUGGGACUGAGACACGGCCCAGACUCCUACGGGAGGCAGCAGUGGGGAAUCUUGGACAAUGGGCGCAAGCCUGAUCCAGCCAUGCCGCGUGGAUGAUGAAGGCCCUAGGGUUGUAAAAUCCUUUCGUUGGGGACGAUAAUGACGGUACCCAAAGAAGAAGCUCCGGCUAACUUCGUG
rnacentral:rRNA from 1 species